rnacentral:lncRNA from 1 species
CUGGUGUAUUGAGAAACUUUCAACAGACGUAUGAAGUUGAAGCUGAGCAGGCAAAAGGAGAUGAGUUUAGAAAAACUCGAGAAGAGGGAGAGGUGAGAUAACCUGUGGCUUCUCAGGACAUGUAUUCUCUUGUCUUUGUGGUGAUGUGGAGGGACCCACUGACCAGAAGAUACAUCAUUGCCUGAACACUGGCAGGAAAGGAAGAGCUGCCAAGUACCAACCAGAAUCUAAACGGAGAUUGUUGAAGGAUGGAAGAAGAAAUUAGAUAUAGGCUGUCAGUGCACAUAUUUUUUGCAUUAAAUUAUAAACAAUAUGCUGUUAAUAUUUAAAUCACGGAGGAAUACCAGAAGAGAAAAUAUGUGUCCUUGUUUUUCUAUCAUUUCACUUUCUCCUCACCAUGUCAAUAUCAAAAGUAUACUGUGUCUUUGUACUCCAUGUCAUCAGGCAUAUGCCUAUCUGCAAGUACACAACACUGCAGAGAUGGUAAGACAAAAGCUUUAUUAAAUUUAAUGCCCGAUGCAGAAUUUUAAAUUUGUUGUCUUCAACUCAAAUGUAAUAUUUUGGGGUUUUUGGUACUUAUAAGCUUGACAAAUCAACUUUAUGUUCUUGAGUUAAAGGCAAAUAAGAAGCAUUCAGAAAACUUCAUGAACAUCAAAUGUCAAUUGCAACACAAGAUUUUGAUACAACUGUACGUGAGUCUGAAACAUAUGGAUUGAAUUUUCCUCGCAAUAUUCUAGUGUUUGGAAGGAAAAUCUGCGCAAAAAAUGUGUUGUGGGUUUUCUGAAACCCCCAAAGUUGAAAAAACAUUUUGAUUUAUUUAGAUUUAGAAAUGGGAUAGCCAUUUUGCACCCCUGGAAACUUAAUUAAGUACCAAAUUCAGUUCAGCACUGCAAGGCACAAGGGCCUGAAUGAGUGAAUCCUCCUUUUCAGUUGCACUGGACUGUUUUAAUUCAUUCGAACUAUGCAAUCUAAUCAGUGGAAGAGCCUAGAGGUUUCUUUCUGCGGCUGUAACUACCCCACAUAAUCUCUGAGAGCCUUCCCCCAAGGCACCUCCAAUAAAUAUAUACUCUAAACAAACAUAAUAUGCAAUCCAAAACAACCAUACCACCUAGGUAAAAACUGAGAUUGCUAUACAAACUAAGCCUCCAGACAAAUCUCCCCAACCUACAGAAAUUCCAUGUCUCCACUGAGUUAAGUGCAUAGAAACCCCAAAGGACCUUUCUGCUUUUACUUUGUUAUUUUUGGAUCUUAUCUCACACUUUUGUCUUUCAGCUUGAUUUGACUGGAUUACUUCCCAACCCUCAGUAAUGCUCCAUUGUGGGAGCCUGUGUCUCAACAGUUCACACCUGCCGUUUACUCCACUGGGUUGUGAAGAUUCACAGAAGAUGACAGGAAGGGGGGAUAAAUAAGCUAAAAUAAACUUUAGAGGAUGGCCCCAUUGCUGUGGUUCUCUGAUCUUGGUUGUUGUCUAUAGAGCUGUCCUUCAAAGACAUUGAUAUGCAGCUGUAUUUUAGAAACAUUUCCUCUUCCAGGUUAGGAGUCUUUUCCAAAUUAAAGAUUCAGUCAAGGGAAUUGGUUUAGAACCAAUUGGUUUAGAACUUCCUCUUCUUGCCUUCCUAAAAACCUAAAAUCUUUGCACAUAAACACAAAACCAAAAAAGUGUAAGCUUUUGAUUCAGGCAGUCUGGGGAUUGUGUCUCGGUUCUGUUUCAUUACUGGCUGUAUAACCUGGAGUAAGUAUCUUCUGAAACACAUUUCCCUCUUUUAUAAACAUGAAGAUACUAGUCCUUCCCUCACUGAGCCAUUUCAAGAAUUAAUAAAAUAUACUGUUUACUUCACAGAGUGUUUUGUAAGUAGUAGAAGCUCAGUGAAUAUUACUUUCUCUCCUCCUUUAUUCUAAUAUCUUAGUAUCUACAUUUCAUAUAUUUUGGUUCAAAUCAUAAAAUUAUUAAAUAAGUCAUCAAGAACAAAGUAAGAAUCAAUCAAAUUGUCAAAAACAACACCCAUUGUCUAUUCAAAGUUCUCCUAAUUUUUGAUGCCUAAGGAUACAGAGUGAU